rnacentral:rRNA from 1 species
UACAGAGGGUGCGAGCGUUGUUCGGAAUUAUUGGGCGUAAAGGGCGCGUAGGCGGUGCGGUAAGUCACCUGUGAAAUCCUCCUGGCUCAACUGGGAGCUUGCAGGCGAAACUGCCGUGCUGGAGUGUGGGAGAGGUGCGUGGAAUUCCUGGUGUAGCGGUGAAAUGCGUAGAUAUCAGGAGGAACACCUGUGGCGAAAGCGGCGCACUGGACCACAACUGACGCUGAGGCGCGAAAGCUAGGGGAGCAAACAAG